GACGAACGCUGGCGGCGUGCCUAAUACAUGCAAGUCGAACGCAGUGGGGACGGGUGAGUAACACGUGGCUACACUCACAUCAGAGGGGAUAAAAAUUGGAAACAGGUGCUAAAACGAUACUGAUGGAUGGACACGCGGUGCAGUAGCUAGUUGGGUAGGUAACGGCUCACCAAGGCCACGAUGCAUAGCCGACCUGUGAGGGUGAUCGGCCAACCGGGGACUGAGAGACGGCCCAGCCUCCUACGGGAGGCAGCAGUAGGGAAUCUUCGGCAAUGGACGAAAGUCUGACCGAGCAACGCCGCGUGAGUGAAGAAGGUUUUCGGAUCGUAAAACUCUGUUGUUAGUGAAGCGGUAUCUAACCAGAAAGCCACGGCUAACUACGUGCCAGCCGCCGCGGUAAUAC
rnacentral:rRNA from 1 species